UCGUGAUCACUUGUAUUGUUUUCGCUAUUUAUCGAAGUGGGAAUAUAGUUGAUGACCUAUGGCGAUUCUUCAUCUAUUCAUUAUUUUUAUAAAGAAAUAAGUUAAUUUAUUUUAAUAUAAAAAUGUUCUAACUAUUAUUUUGGGAUUCAAUAGUGAGGUUACAACUCAUAUUGUGUCUUUCUACUCGCUUCGAGCUGAGAAUCGAUCACGAUCACUUGUACUGCUUCUGUUAUCUAUCAAGAUAAAAAGGGAGUAAGUAAUCAAUAUUGACUCUUCGUCUAUUAGUUACACUUCAAGUAAAUUCAAACAAUUAUAACUUUUUAAAUCCAACCAAAUUACUACGAUUCGGGAUCCACUUACCCCUCAUCCUAGCCACCAAUUCUAUGGACAUCUAAUAGUUAGAUCUACUUAAUAAUUCAAAUCAUUGGAUUUCCCUAGAAUUACUAGCUAGGACGAGGAGUAAGUUUUGAGUAAGUGGAUAUCCACCGCAUUACUAAUUUUUUCUUAAACCUAUAGGUGUAUAGUCUUGAUUUCCUAAAGCAUAUAGGGAUACGUAUGAGCAAUAUUAAUUUUUGUUAGACACAAAAGUAAAUAUUUAACUCAUGCAAUUAGUUAGGGUACUGUUUAAUUACGGAUGAAUGAGGUGUUAACACAUUUCUCAAUCUGGAAUGACUCUCGAACUUAAACUAUGAUAUAAAAGUCCAUUUUAUCCUAAUUUAGACUUAAAUUGAGUUUUUCAUAUUUUAACCGCAAAAAACAUGGUAGCGAUUCUCAAAGAGGUUACGUAACCAAAAAUUAUGGCACAACACUAUGAAAUUGUAUUGGAUUUGCAAUUGAAAGCUAAAAUUCAAUAAACCAAAAUUUAAAAGUUAGGAAUAAACCUAUCCAUCAUGAUAAGUUAAUGACUCAUUGACAAAUCUCUCAUAAACCUAUCCAUCAUGAUAAGUAUGCCUAAUAACAACAUUAAUCAUAAUUUUUGCUAAAAACUUGCUCUAAAAUUUUGGGCAUCCAAGUAAUUGAUACUCAUACAAAUAUAUUGGAUAUUCCAUACUACUACGAAUACUAAAAAAGAAUCUAAUUUAUUCAAAUUUGAGAGAAACCUAAUGCUCACAACCUAUACAUCAUACAUUUGAAAUUCAACAUAUACAAGAUAAAAGAGAGUGAAAAUAUAUUUAUUUAUCUUAUUCAUAAGGACUAAACCAUUGCUUCUCGAUGAUUAAUAUUACUUGCUUUGGAUUACUGGUACAAGAUUAAUUAGACAAGAAAAUAUUAGAAAUAAGAUAAAAUUGAAAAGAAAAGGCUGCAAAAUUGGAUAUAUUGAAGAAUUAGUGUAAAAGAUGAGGCAAUAUCAGCCAUAAAUGGGAAAAAUAAACUGUAUAAAAGGGGGGGAUAAAAAGUGUAAGAUAAAUGAACACAAAGAACUAAAUGUCAAUUAUAAAUAACAUUCAAAAUCAAACAGAAUAUAAAAGAAUCAAAACGAAUAUCAACAAAAAUAAAAAAAAAUAGAGUAAUAUCAACAAGAAGGGAAAGCAUUUACGAUUAGAAUCGGCUAUUACAUUUAACAUUUACGAGAAGAGAAAAAUAGAAUAAACUAUAUAUUUAAAGUUUAUUACCUUAAAUGAACAGAAUGAAUCGAUGAUUAAAUAAAUAGAUAAAAUGUUAAAAAUAGAAUGAAUGGAGGAUUUGAGUGAAGGAAGAAUACAAGAGUUCUUACUUGACAACCGUGAAUGGAGCAUUUGAAGGUAUUUGAGUGAAACCGUAUGAAUUUAUUUGAAGAGAUUUGAGUAAGGGAUUUGUAUUUGACUUAGAUGAUGCUGGAAGUGGAUAUAGAUGAAGAGUUUUUUUCAUUUUGGAAAAAUACGAGGGAUUUGUAUGU
rnacentral:lncRNA from 1 species